GGUGAGGCAAUAGUUGCUUCAGAAGCUGGUUUGCUUUUGCCGUCUGUUCUCGGACGUUAAGUAAUUGGGCGGUCCCUGAGGCUGCCUCUUAACAAGAUACAGGUUUGGCUAAUUUGAAUUGUGUUCCAAUCUCUACGUCUGUGCGUGACGCCAAAUUUUUUCACCCCGACCCGCCUAAUCCCUGAAGGAGAAGUGAAUGAGUUAAAAGGACUUCAAGAGGAGACCUUUCAUUUAAGAGGCUGAUGAAGCUCAGUUCCAGAAACAGUGAUGUUACACACCCAGUCUAAAAGUCACAGUUGGUAAAAGACACAGCCAGGAGAUCACGGGAAAGCCAGCACUCCUGCCCAGGUCUUCUAAGUCAACGUGCAGGAUUUCCCUCACUCUCUCUGGGUGCCUCUCAGUCUAUAAUUCAUCCUCAGUAUCUAGCAUGGUGCCUGGGACAUAACGCCCACUGAAUGUUAUCUGUUGAAAGCUUGAAUGAAAAGCCAUGCUGCAAGGCUGGAUAGAAAUGACUGAUGAAUAGAGAGCUGUUCUCCCUGUCUUGAUUGAGAUCCCUUCGCAGGCCAAAUGACGGGCCUAUGAGCUCUGCUCUGUGGAUGGGCAGAGCCACUGGCUGAGAUUUCUGCUCUGGUGCCACUACAAGCCGGAAUUUGGUCCACCAAGGUCAGAGCACUGAUCGAUUUUGGUCCUGUAACUCUGAUAUGACAGCAGCACUUUUGGGUCCCUGUGUACUGUGUUCAGCGAAGAACUCUUGGAGCUCUUCAUGCUCUGCUCCUGGCUGGUGAUUGGUGCCAACAAUGAACAGGAUGGGCAGAGUGGCUUGAUGGAGAGGAUGAGUCCCAAGAUUCCUUCUGAUCCAAAACAUCACAGGUUCAUCACCUUCAGGAUAAUAACCAGAUCAUCCCCGUACCUUCCACACAAACCUCCUGCACUCAGAUCCUUUGCUCAGUCUCACUUUGGAGGAACUCCUGAAGACAAACAUAUCUGGAAGAAUGACUGUGCUUUACAUCGCUUUACCUCUUCACUCACAAAAAGAAUGACUAAUAUAAUAAUAACUGAUUACUUGGACACUUAUUGUAUGAUAGCUUUGAUUCUAAGUGUUUAAAUGCCUUUUCCUUACUUAUCACAACAGGCCUAUGAGGUAGUAGUCAUUAUUGUCCCCAUUUUACAGGAUAGAAAACUGAGGUUUGGAAAGGCUCAGUAAGCUGGCCAAGGCAACCCAGCUUGUCAGUGAUGGAGCCAGCAGUUGAACCUAGGCUCUCCAAUGCAAGAGCCUAGUUUUCCAUCUUCCAGAAAUUAAAUUGAUUCCCACUCAUGUGGAUAGAUACAUAUUCAGGAGGAGUAUGAAUAGAAAGAAGCAGCCGUUUGCCAGCACAGGCAGUGCAUACACAGAUGGGUUUCCUCUUUAAGGGACCCACCUGCAGCCACUAAACUCUAUUGCCCUGAACCCUUAUCUUUUACAGCUCCGAAAGACAGCAGCUACUCUGAGUGUCAGUUUGAAUGUAUAAAUAUUUAACUGAAAUAGUGAAGCCUGGAGAAGCGUCAUGUCUCACAGUUGCCUUCACUGGAAGGGAACUGGUGAUUAGAAUAAAUAAUUGCUCUGAAAAUAGCUUCAUCCUAUUUGUUCAAACAAUUAAGCCCCCAUCAAUGAAGUUAAUUUAUGAGAGGAAUGACACAUGUGUUGGCAAAGUGUUCUGUUCCUCUUGGCAGCCUUCACAUCUUCUCAUCUCUCUUUUUAACCUUCCUUUUUGCUUCUGUUGCCGUUUCUGCCGUCACUUCUCAGUGUCUUUGGGGAGCUGAUGUUUCCUACAGCAAUUUUUUUUUUCGUUUGCAAAUUCAAGCCCAGAUCUAUUUUAUCUGCUUGCUUAUAAGGACAUGUUUGCCAUCUCGUCUCUUCUAAAUUUUGAUGAUGACCAUUUGAUUUCCUGUCUUCUGCCUUUCAUCUGCUACGGUCAUUUUUUUUAUUAAACAUCCCUUGUACUUCUUACAUUUUGGUGCUAAUAUGGCAUGAUCAGAUAGA